AUAUUAGUUAAUAAUAAUUAUGACAAUGAUCCAUUAAAUACAUUUUAGUAAUUUGUUACAAUCUAAUUAAUUCCGAUUCUGAUUUCAAGACAAAGUAAACACAUUAAUGGCAAUCCAACUCAUUCCGAUUUCGAUUCCUACAGUUCAAGUAAACAAUUUAUUUUGAUUCUCAUUCUCAAUUCUUAUUCUAGCCAAUUCUCAUUCCAACCCAUUCUCAUUCCUACCCACGUUCCCAUUCCUACCCACGUAACUUGAAGACUUAAACUUUGCCGGCUUGAGUUUUUGCGGAAUCAGCUGGAAACGUGCACCAGUGGGAGUUGAGGUUCAAGUGCAGCGCUAUGAGUAGAUGAGUUUAAAGUUCCUUUUUCUCUGAGUUCAUUUUCUCAACGUGAGAAUUGAUAAUAGACUAGGGCUCUCUUACUGAC
rnacentral:lncRNA from 1 species